GCUGGCGGUGCGCCUUAUGCAUGCAAGUCGAGCGAAGCUUUUCAGUAGUUUACUACAGAAAAUGACUGAGCGGCGAACGGGUGAGUAACGCGUGAGCAAUCUACCUUAGUUACAGGGAUAGCCCGAGGAAACUCGGAUUAAUACCUGAUAUUCUUUAUUUCUCGCAUGAGAAUAAAAGGAAAGGUCAGCCGAACUAAGAUGAGCUCGCGUUCUAUCAGCUAGUUGGUGAGGUAAAAGCUUACCAAGGCUACGACGGAUAGCUGGUCUGAGAGGACGAUCAGCCACACUGGGACUGAGACACGGCCCAGACUCCUACGGGAGGCUGCAGCAGGGAAUAUUGUGCAAUGAACGAAAGUUUGACACAGCGACACCGCGUGUGGGAUGACGGAUCUAGGUUUGUAAACCACUUUCAGGAGGGAAGAAAAUGACGGUACCUCCACAAGAAGCCCCGGCCAACUACGUGCCAGCAGCCGCGGUAAUACGUAGGGGGCGAGCGUUGUCCGGAUUUAUUGGGCGUAAAGAGCUCGUAGGCGGUUCAACAAGUCGGUCGUGAAAGUUCAGGGCUCAACCCUGAAAUGUCGAUCGAUACUGUUGUGACUAGGAUACG
rnacentral:rRNA from 1 species